rnacentral:rRNA from 1 species
UGGGGAAUAUUGCACAAUGGGGGAAACCCUGAUGCAGCAACGCCGCGUGAAGGAAGACGGUUUUCGGAUUGUAAACUUCUGUUCUUAGUGAAGAAUAAUGACGGUAGCUAAGGAGCAAGCCACGGCUAACUACGUGCCAGCAGCCGCGGUAAUACGUAGGUGGCAAGCGUUGUCCGGAAUUACUGGGUGUAAAGGGUGCGUAGGCGGCUUUGCAAGUCAGAUGUGAAAUCUAUGGGCUCAACCCAUAAACUGCAUUUGAAACUGUAGAGCUUGAGUGAAGUAGAGGCAGGCGGAAUUCCCCGUGUAGCGGUGAAAUGCGUAGAGAUGGGGAGGAACACCAGUGGCGAAGGCGGCCUGCUGGGCUUUAACUGACGCUGAGGCACGAAAGCGUGGGUAGCAAACAGGAUUAGAUACCCUGGUAGUCCACGCUGUAAACGAUGAUUACUAGGUGUGGGGGGUCUGACCCCUUCCGUGCCGGAGUUAACACAAUAAGUAAUCCACCUGGGGAGUACGGCCGCAAGGUUGAAACUCAAAGGAAUUGACGGGGGCCCGCACAAGCAGUGGAGUAUGUGGUUUAAUUCGAAGCAACGCGAAGAACCUUACCAGGUCUUGACAUCCGAUGCAUAGCGCAGAGAUGCGUGAAGUCCUUCGGGACAUCGAGACAGGUGGUGCAUGGUUGUCGUCAGCUCGUGUCGUGAGAUGUUGGGUUAAGUCCCGCAACGAGCGCAACCCUUAUUGCCAGUUACUACGUAAGAGGACUCUGGCGAGACUGCCGUUGACAAAACGGAGGAAGGUGGGGAUGACGUCAAAUCAUCAUGCCCUUUAUGACCUGGGCUACACACGUACUACAAUGGCGUUUAACAAAGAGAAGCAAGACCGCGAGGUGGAGCAAAACUCAAAAACAACGUCUCAGUUCAGAUUGCAGGCUGCAACUCGCCUGCAUGAAGUCGGAAUUGCUAGUAAUCGCGGAUCAGCAUGCCGCGGUGAAUACGUUCCC